rnacentral:rRNA from 1 species
GACGAACGCUGGCGGCGUGCCUAAUACAUGCAAGUUGAGCGCUGAAGGUUGGUACUUGUACCAACUGGAUGAGCAGCGAACGGGUGAGUAACGCGUGGGGAAUCUGCCUUUGAGCGGGGGACAACAUUUGGAAACGAAUGCUAAUACCGCAUAAAAACUUUAAACACAAGUUUUAAGUUUGAAAGAUGCAAUUGCAUCACUCAAAGAUGAUCCCGCGUUGUAUUAGCUAGUUGGUGAGGUAAAGGCUCACCAAGGCGAUGAUACAUAGCCGACCUGAGAGGGUGAUCGGCCACAUUGGGACUGAGACACGGCCCAAACUCCUACGGGAGGCAGCAGUAGGGAAUCUUCGGCAAUGGACGAAAGUCUGACCGAGCAACGCCGCGUGAGUGAAGAAGGUUUUUGGAUCGUAAAACUCUGUUGGUAGAGAAGAACGUUGGUGAGAGCGGAAAGCUCAUCAAGUGACGGUAACUACCCAGAAAGGGACGGCUAACUACGUG